rnacentral:rRNA from 1 species
AUGAACCAGCUGCUUGCUCUCGCCGGCCCACGCGCUGAUCCGUUCGUUCGCCUGCGCGGCCUCGUCCUCCCAGUCCGUGUUCCAGAUGACGGCGAGCAGGACCGCCGUCUGCAGCGCCGUCCCGCACAGCAUCCCCGCCCAGAUGCCCUGGGGGCCGAGCCGGAGGAGGUAGCCGAGGCAGAACCCGAGGGGGAGCCCGAAGGCGUAGUAGCAGCCCAGGUUGAUGUACGCCACCAGCGCCUGCCACCCGCCGCCGAUGGCCACCCCGGAGAUCACCGGCUGCACGCUGUUGAGCACCAUGGUGACCGCCAGCAGGUACGCCACCCUCCCCACGGCGGCCUGCAUGGCCCGGUCGCCCGUGAAGAGCGCCGCGAAGCUGUUGCGGUAGGCCAGGAUGAGCGCCAUGGCGAGCAGGCCGAUGAGCAGGGACUGGGCGAUGACCGACGCCACGGCGUGCUUCGCCGCCCGCGGACGGCCGGAGCCCAGCUCGUUGGACACGCGCACGCUGAUGGCCGCGUUCAGCCCGAUGAACAGCAUCGCCUCCCACCCGUUGAGGUUCAUGCAGAUGGACACGGAGCCCACGGCGAUCUCCGCGUCGUCGAGGUGGCCCGUGAGGACCACGAGCACCAUCAUGUACCACACCUCCAGGCAGAGCAUCACGGCGGAGGCCAGCGAGAGCUUGGCGAACGCCCACAGCCCCUCGAACGCCUUCCACGACAGGCCGUCCCAGCCGCCGCCGUCCCCGCACCACCGCACCACGUACACCACCUGCGCCACGGCGAUGCCCCACGAGGUGACGUCGUACGCCGCGGCGGCUCCGGCGAGCCCCCACCCGAGGCGCGACACGAAGAGGUACAGCAUGGCGACGUGCGCGGCGAGCGCGGCGAGGCUGAUCCACGCCAGCACCAUCACCUUGCUCUGCGCCUGCAGGAACUUCUGCGUCGGGAAGGUGAGCGCCAGCGAGAACAUCUGCGGGAGGAUGCGCAGCGUGAAGUCCCCCGCGGCGCCGGCGAUGGCGUCGUCCUGGCCGAGCGCGCGCAGGAUCGGCGUGGCGAAGACGUAGAGCGGGGAGAGGAGGACGGCCGAGACGGCGAGGAUGAUCCAGGACCGCUGCAUGUAGACGCCGAGCGCGCCCAGCUGCCCGGCCCCGUACGCCUGCCCGCACAGCGUCUCCAGCGCGCUGCCCAUGCCGAGGAGGAACCCGAAGGAGAAGUUGGAGACGACGGAGAGGCCGACGGCGGCGGCGGAGAGCUGCAGGUUGCCGAGGCGGCCGGCGAAGAGCUGCGUGGCGGAGUUGACGCCGUAGAGGCAGAGGAUGUUGAAGGUGAUGGGCGCCGCGAUGGCCCACAGCCGCUCCGCCUCCCGCACGAACGCCUCCCGCGCCUUCUUGUAGCUCCUCGGCGCCGCCGCGUCCUCCUCCGCGACCACGGCCGGCCUCUUCGCCAGCAGCGGCGCCUCCAUGAGGACCAUGACCGACCGACCGACUCUGCUCGACUCCGACGACGUACGACUGAACUGAGACGAGCAGCUAGGUAG